UAAAUCAAUCACAAUAUAAAAAGAUAAGGGAAGAGAGAGCAAACACAAUGAUUUUUACGUGGUUCGGCAAUCCCCGCCUACGUCCACGCCUCCAAGCUCACCGGGCUUGAAGAUUUCACUAAGCUAGCCACCCAAGGCUUCAAAUGCUUACAAUUGACUUCCAAGGUGUCAAUGGACCUUUACAACAAGAGAUUAUCCCCAAUCUCUUAACCCAAGUGUAUCCCAACACUUACAAUCAUUCAAAGUAAAAGAUUACAAAUUGUUUUUCUCUCGCACAAUAUCUAAGAUUACAAAUCAAUGCCCAAUGUGUGAAUAGAUGAAAAGAGAAUGUGUUUAAAGCUCUAUGAAGAUUGUAUUCUCGGAUAUAAGCUCAAUGGUAGU
rnacentral:lncRNA from 1 species